UAUUGACUACUUUUGGUUUGAGUUCAAAAUAAACCUCCAAAAUAGAUUUUUGAAAAAGAAGCGCAAAAUCAUAACUUUACUUCAAAAAUGUGUUCCUCAUAUUUUUAGUAAUUUACAGUUGAAAACCCAAGUCAAAUCAAAUAAAAAAUGAGGUUCAAAUCGAAGAAACACUAUUUUAAAGAUUUUUCGGGUAAAAUCUUCGAAAUUCAUGUUAAAAGCAAGAAUCGAAG
rnacentral:lncRNA from 1 species